rnacentral:rRNA from 1 species
GCGUCGAGGUGCCCUCGGGGAAAGUUGAGACAGGUGGUGCAUGGUUGUCGUCAGCUCGUGUCGUGAGAUGUUGGGUUAAGUCCCGCAACGAGCGCAACCCUUAUGAUUAGUUGCUACGCAAGAGCACUCUAAUCAGACUGCCGUUGACAAAAACGGAGGAAGGUGGGGACGACGUCAAAUCAUCAUGCCCCUUAUGACCUGGGCUACACACGUACUACAAUGGCCAUUAACAGAGGGAAGCAAGACCGCGAGGUGGAGCAAAACCCUAAAAAUGGUCUCAGUUCGGAUCGCAGGCUGAAACCCGCCUGCGUGAAGCUGGAAUUGCUAGUAAUCGCGGAUCAUCAUGCCGCGGUGAAUACGUUCCCGGGCCUUGUACACACCGCCCGUCACACCAUGGGAGCCGGUAAUACCCGAAGUCGGUAGUCUAACCGCAAGGAGGACGCCGCCGAAGGUAGGAUUGGCGACUGGGGUGAAGUCGUAACAAGGUAGCCGUAUCGGAAGGUGCGGCUGGAUCACCUCCUUU